rnacentral:rRNA from 1 species
GAUGAACGCUAGCGGCAGGCCUAAUACAUGCAAGUCGAACGAGAUUAAGGAGCUUGCUCCUUAUGAAAGUGGCGCACGGGUGCGUAACGCGUAUGCAACCUACCUUAAUCAGGGGGAUAGCCCGAAGAAAUUCGGAUUAACACCGCAUAAAAACACAGGAUAGCAUUAUCCAAUGUUCAAAUAUUUAUAGGAUUAAGAUGGGGAUGCGUGUCAUUAGCUAGUUGGCGGGGUAACGGCCCACCAAGGCGACGAGGACUAGGGUAUCUGAGAGGAUGACCCCCCACAAUAGUACUGAGACACGGACCAGACUCCUACGGGAGGCAGCAGUAAGGAAUAUUGGUCAAUGGAGGCAACUCUGAACCAGCCAUGCCGCGUGCAGGAAGACUGCCCUAUGGGUUGUAAACUGCUUUUAUCCGGGAAUAAACCUAAUUACGUGUAAUUAGCUGAAUGUACCGGAAGAAUAAGGAUCGGCUAACUCUGUGCCAGCCGCCGCGGUAAAAC